rnacentral:rRNA from 1 species
AACGAACCUUGGCGGGAGGCCUAACACAUGCAAGUCGAACGAACCCUUCGGGGUUAGUGGCGCACGGGUGCGUAACGCGUGGGAACCUGCCUUUAGGUUCGGAAUAACAGUUAGAAAUGACUGCUAAUACCGGAUAAUGUCUUCGGACCAAAGAUUUAUCGCCUUUAGAUGGGCCCGCGUUGGAUUAGAUAGUUGGUGGGGUAAUGGCCUACCAAGUCGACGAUCCAUAGCUGGUCUGAGAGGAUGAUCAGCCACACUGGGACUGAGACACGGCCCAGACUCCUACGGGAGGCAGCAGUGGGGAAUAUUGGACAAUGGGCGAAAGCCUGAUCCAGCAAUGCCGCGUGAGUGAUGAAGGCCUUAGGGUUGUAAAGCUCUUUUACCAGGGAUGAUAAUGACAGUACCUGGAGAAUAAGCUCCG